rnacentral:rRNA from 1 species
UGGAGAGUUUGAUCCUGGCUCAGAGUGAACGCUGGCGGCGUGCCUAAUACAUGCAAGUCGAACGGACAAGUAAGAGCUUGCUCUUAUGAGUUAGUGGCGCACGGGUGAGUAAUGUAUAGCUAAUCUGCCCUACACUAGAGGACAACAGUUGGAAACGGCUGCUAAUACUCUAUACUCCUGUCUUACAUAAGUUAGAUAGGGAAAGUUUUAUCGGUGUAGGAUGAGGCUAUAUUGUAUCAGCUAGUUGGUGAGGUAAUGGCUCACCAAGGCUAUGACGCAUAACUGGUCUGAGAGGAUGAUCAGUCACACUGGAACUGAGACACGGUCCAGACUCCUACGGGAGGCAGCAGUAGGGAAUAUUGCUCAAUGGGGGAAACCCUGAAGCAGCAACGCCGCGUGGAGGAUGACACUUUUCGGAGCGUAAACUCCUUUUGUUAGGGAAGAAUAAUGACGGUACCUAACGAAUAAGCACCGGCUAACUCCGUGCCAGCAGCCGCGGUA